AGCGUGUAUUUAUUCAUGAUUGAAUAAAUACUGAUAUGAUUUUGUAAUUUAUAUUUUAUUUCCUAUUUGAAUUUACUUUAAAUAAAGAUGAUUUUAUUCCUAAUGCAUAUUUGUGUUUUCGUUUUCAAAUAGAUUAAUUACGGAUUGUAAUUAAUUAUGAGUGGUACUAUUCGUAUUUUAUAUUCACGGACUUUGACGAUUGACUAGUUUGGCCUUGAUUGUUACUCACUUCUACUAUUCUGAUGGUCAGUGUUUUACGCUUGAUUUGACCGCACACUUUCUGCUAUUUCAUUGUUUAUAUAUCUUUUGGCGGUUUAUUUAUAUUAAGUCUAUAUUUAAUUGUGGAUUGAUGUUCAAACCGAACAGACGUUUCAUUUACUUUAUUUGCUGUUUCCUAUUUUGUAUCAUUUGUAUUGGAGGAAUUCCACGAUUGUUUCAGGUAUUUGACAGAGUUCUGCAUAUGAUGUAGAUACACUUAGAGGCAUAACCUUUGUACCUCAUACGAGGGUUUCUUUUGAUGCUUCAUUUGAAUAAUAAAACUAUCCAGAACCCUAUACAUAGUCAACUAUUAUUUACGCCCAGAUAGUGCGACUACAUUUUGGCGCCCACGU